rnacentral:lncRNA from 1 species
UUUUAUUUCCAUCAUCUUCUCCAUCUCGAUUCUUCAUCCCCUUCAUCCAUUUCUGAAAAAUAAAAAGAACAUCUAUGGCAGCAACAACAACAAUUUUAACAUCAUCAUGAAGUAACCCAUAAAUCUUCUCAUACAACCACAACAAAAUCAAAUCGCAACAACAAAACCGUAAUUUCUGCUGCAGCAACAACAACUUAAAUCUUUUCAUCAUCCUCUCAUACCAAAAAAAAAACCCAUAAAUUCUCCACCAUCACAACCACCAGAUUCGUCCUCAUCACUUCCUUCAACUUGAUACCGUAAAUUCUAUGUAUGUGAGUUUUUGAAGAAAAUGGGUUUAAAAUCAUCCUCUAAAGUUUACAACUUUUCAUUUUCUUUUUGUUCAUGGAAAGGUGAAUGAUUUUAGAAGCUUUGACUUGUCAAAAAACAAUUUCUCUUAUGAAAUUCCUAAAGCUUUGAGUUCCCUUGUGGGUUAGAGGUUAUUCUUGCCCGUGUUUGUUGAAGAACCUGAAAUGGGUUAGAUGUUUUUGUGUUCUAAAAUUGAUUUUUUUUGUGUGUUUUGAAAUCGUUUUUUUUUUGGAAAAUAAGGGUUUUUUUAUUUGAAUUUGGGUUGAUGUUGUUGUCUGUUGUUGUUGAAUUUUUUAUGUUGUUGGCGGAGUUGCUGUUGUUCAUGUUGUUUUUCCAGAAAUUGAGAUGGAGAAGAUGAAGAAAAUAAAAUUAAGUCUCUUAAAAAAAAUUAAGUUUUCAACCAAUGCCAUGAUGACAUGUGUAUAACAGUUAACUUUUUUAUAAAACCUAACGUAAACCUAACGGAAUAGACUAAAAUGACUAGCAAAAAUAAAAUUAAACGACUUAAACGGAAUUUUUAUUACUUAAGGAACCAAUCCGAUACUAAAAAUAUAGUUAAGGGACCAAAAGAGCACUUUAGCCUAUAUUUUAUUUUGAUUUGCUUUAUAUAGAAAUCCAAAAUUAAAUGAAUUAAAUCAUUGAUUUUUUCUCACACCACUAUAAGUGUAAAAACUACUAUUUUUUUUUGUUGCACUAAUUUUACGAUGGGUUGCUUUAUGAAAUUAACUAGUAUAUCAAACACUUGAUGGAUCAAUUAAUUAAACCAUUAUAAUCAAUAUUAUAAAAUGAUUGUAAUUAUAUAUGUGAUGUUAAAAAAUUAAUCGUGCAAUUGUUUAAAUUAAUUCGCAAUUGUUUAAAUUAAAAUUAAUUGUCUAUUGUUUUGUACAAUUAUUUAUUUUUUAUAAGAUAUAAUUGUCGAUAUAACGAAUCACAGAAAGACAUUACUCCGACAACUAAAACAAACUUAACCGUCUAAUGAUAGCAAAUAUAAUCAACUCAGAUUGCGACAUAUUUGUACUACUGUGGCAAUGUAAUUUUUAUGAUUGCUUCUAUUUUCAGUCUUUGACAAGCUUUUAUAUGAUUGCUUCUAUUUUUGGUUGAUUAACUUAAUUUAAAUCAGGUUAUAUAUGAUUGUUUCUAUAGAAGUUAUUUUUUUAGAAAAUGAAUUUUCAUGGAUUUAGUACUAAUUUUGGAAUCUACUUGUCAUCUGGAGAAUGAAUAUGAAAAUGAUGUAUAAAACUUGUUUAAUUUCUGAGUUUGUGCUGCAUAUGAUUUGGAUUUGGUUACAAGACUUUAACUUUUUGAAGAAUGUUCAUUUUGUUAUAGCUACCCUUAUCUUGAGCAGCUAGCAGGAUGAAUAUAUGAAUAUGCAUACAAAGGUAUGCUAAGGAGGUUCCAUUUGGUUUACAAGAAGUACUUGUGUCUGCUGUUUGAACGGAUUUGGAACCCGAGAGAAUGUUGCAUUUUGUAGUUGUGUUUGGGGUGUUUUCUGGUGGACUGGCUUUUCUGCUGUGCUGAUUUUUUUUUCUGUUGUUCGCAGGUUCUGUUUGCUGUUUUGGUGGGUGCUGCCUUCUGUUAAGGGCGGCUGCUGCUAUGUGCACCUGCUGUCAGCUGGUGUUUUUUUUGUUGUUGUUGUCAGCAGCUUCUGUGGUGCGGUUCAGCACGUGUUGGUGUGCUUGGGGGCUGGGUUUGGUGCGGCGUUAUGCGUAGGGGGUCAUUGUUCUUGUCCGGCUGCCUUUCCGGAUAGUUUUUGGGUCUUUGUAUACCUUUGCAUCAGUCACUUGCUUUAGGAGGCUGAGUUUUUCUUUUUGUUUGGCUCUUUUUGGUGUGGUUUGGGUCAGGUGUUCCGCCUAUAUACGACAUCCUUGUUUGUGUUGAUUUGUUUCGUUUUGCUUGCGCGGUUGGUUAUUGUGCAGCUUGCACCCUUCCGUUGCUUAAUAAAUUUUGCAGAUUCAAAUAAAAAAAAAGUUUGAUUAAUUCAUACUUUUAGAGAAAUGUUACGUUGA